UUCGAUUGAGAUUUAAUCUCAAUCGUUCAAUAGAAAUCAAACCCUACACUUACACUCCAUCUCUCCUGUCUCUCUCGAUACUUAGUUCUCACUCACUCUCUCUCGUGGCUUGUCUCAGACUUAAACCCUCAUCUCACCACCCUCGUCGCCGAUUUGUCCCUCCGUUUUCGAAUCCGACCACACAAGUGACUCACCUGAGUCACAUCUCUCUUAACUAUCACCUCUCAGAUCUCUCUCUCAGUCUCUCUCAACUUCUUAUCCCUCACAGAGUCACAGUGGAGGAGCCUUCCUUCACAAAUCACGACCACUGGCGCCGCUCUCCUUCUCAGUCUCUCUCGAUUCUAGUGAUCCAGUGCACUGUGCAAUUCUCCCCCAAAUCAGGAAUACACGUCCUUUUCCUUUGAUGUUGUUGGCUACCUUGUGUAUAUAACGUUUGCAUAUUGACACUAGGAGGUCUUUCACAAACAAGAAGGAGCAACCACAACCAUCAACAACAUCAAGGGGCCGAAGGGGUCGAAGAGGCCAACAAUCUUCAUAAACUUUAAGCUUUUCAUUUUGCUUUUGGUUUGUAACGUAAUUUAUUUUGAAACUUUGGUUUGUAAUUAAUUUUUUUGCUUUUGGGUUUGUUACUUCAUUUAUUUUGAAACCGUGGCUUGUAAUUAAUUUUUUUGCUUUUGAAUUUGUUACUUAAUUUAUUUUUGUUGCAUGCAUGUGUAGUAGAAUAGGCAGAUCAUAUUGGCUAUUGUGAGUAGGGAAUAUAUGCAAGGAUUUUGGUUUGAUUUUAUUUCUACAGAAUAACUUGAUCACUUCA